UCAAAUGUGCAGGAAAUAAUUAUUCUACGAUGUCUUUGCCAGUCUUUUGAGCCUGAAUCACUGUUGAGACCUUAUUAAACAAUGUAAUGGCUUGGCUCAGAAAAUAAUUUUAUGACGUCUUUUAAUUCAAGUUUCUUAGUUUUUACAGUUCAAGUACUUUUCAGACUACUCUGGUUCUCUUCCAAAUUUAUAUGUGAGAUUCUUGAUAGGAGAGAAUUGUAAAUACAAUAAGGAACAUCAGCCUUAGCAUAUUUGUUAAUGUUUAUUUGGCCCUCUGGGAAAUAGGCCAGUAAAUUUUUAUUGUUUACUUUGAGGGGUUAUUUUAGUGAAAGUGACCCAAAUCAAAUCAAAACAUUUAAAUACCUACCCCUUGGGUUAUGGAUGAAGUGCAUAUGGAAACCACCCAAGCUUUAGGUGCUGCUAUUAGUGACAGAAAUAGUAACUGCUAACACAUUGUUUAUUCUUUGCCAGAAACUUUUAUAUUUGAAAAUACAUUCAAGGAGUUUCCUAGUGGCCUAGCAGUUAAGGACCCAGUGUUGUCACUGCUGUGGCACACGUUAGACCCCUGUGGCCAAAAAUAAAAUCCAUUCAAUUCUUGUAACCACUUUAUGAGGGAGAUGUAUCAUUAUUCCCAUACUAUAAGGUAAGGAAACGGAGUCACAGGGUUAAAAUAGCAUACCUAAUGCCGCAUAACUAGUAAGGGGAGGAGUCAGGACUCAAGCUCUGGUAAUUUGAUUGCAGAACUCACACUCAGUAAUUACAUCUACAACCUCUGUCCUAUAGUUAACAAGAGGUAGAGGAGACAAAAUUAAAUAUUAAGCCCUAAAAUGUUCAAAAUGAUAGUGAUACCUUCCAAAGAAAGUCUUAAAGUUAGGUUUGUAUGUGAAAGUACCAUACUAAGCACAAAUUAGUUUCUCACAUAUUCCAUGAUGGUACUACUGUCCCAUUGUAAGGAGGCAUGCUCUGACAAGUGUUUCGGUAACACAGGAUGUGGGAUGUUUAUGUGUUCUUGUCCCUCAGUGUGUAUGUGUGGUCCAUGGAUAUACUUGUAGCUAUAUGAAUUCAGUCGGCCUUUAAUAGUGUCCUCCCCUGAGAAAACUGUCCAGAAUAAAGCCACACAAUCUAUAGGUCACACUUGGUUGUACUGUUUUUGAGGUAUCAGCAUCAAACAGCAUUGUCAUCUCACUUUACAUGUCUCUGGAAGCUAAUCAAAAUCUAAAGGAAAAUUGACCUUUUGUAACUAAAAGACCACAAACAAACUAUACAUUUAAAUUGUAAACUUAGUUUGCAAAUUACCUAUCCCUAAGCUAUCAGAUAUACCAUUUUCUUAGUAUUUCAUGUCAAUUUAAAGAAUUGGACUUCUGGCAAAGCUUAAUAAUCAUUAACUUCUUUCUGUCUUACAGAGCAAUUCCAGGCAGUAUAUAGCAAGCUCUUACACAGCCUUCAGACAUACUCUUGGGUAUUACCUCAGAGAGGCAACCUCGUCCCCCCGCCAUUUCACAUACACAGAAAAUUGAUAGCUCCCGUUUCUGUUUUAUCAACCCUGUAGUCGUUUCAUUAUUGCUUAUGUGGCCUCAUAAUUGUGAUUAUUUUCUUCCUUAUUUCUCUAAGAUUAGCCUGUAAGCCUAAAAGGCUUGAGCCCAGGCGGUAUCUUAACUUAUUUGGUGACUAAUGUAGUAAAUAGAGCCAGUGACUUCACAUAGCACUCAGUAUUAUGUUAGUUCCCUUCCUUACUAUGGAAUACAUUGAUACCAAUAUUAGUAUGACUACUCAAAACAACUUACUUUUUAGAUAGCCAGAGUUAGACCUUACUUUUCAGUGGAAUUCUCCUAGUCUCAAUUAAGUCAAAUCUAUUUCCAGAUUACCAAUAUCACAUUUUCAUUGAAGGAUCAGAUGGAAAGGGAAAUGAAAAACAUGAAAUAGUUCUUGCCAGGCACUUAUUUUGACAUCACCACUGCCCCCACCAAAAAAAAAAAAAAAAAAAAAAAAAAAA
rnacentral:lncRNA from 1 species